UACAGGGGGUGCAAACGUUGCUCGGAAUCAUUGGGCGUAAAGCGCACGUAGGCGGUCUGUUAUGUCGGAUGUGAAAGCCCUGGGCUCAACCCAGGAAGUGCACUCGAAACUGGGAGGCUAGAGUACUGGAGAGGUUGGUGGAAUUCUCGGUGUAGAGGUGAAAUUCGUGGAUAUCGAGAGGAACACCGGUGGCGAAGGCGGCAACUGGACAG
rnacentral:rRNA from 1 species